GCUGGGCGUGGUGGCCUGCGCCUGUAGUCCCAGCUACUGGGGAGGCUGAGGCAGGAGAAUUGCUUGAACCUGGGAGGCAGAGGUUGCAGUGAGCCGAGAUCACGUCACUGCACUCCAGCCUGGGUGACAGAGUGAGAUUCUGUCUCAA
rfam:Nomascus leucogenys chromosome 21, whole genome shotgun sequence.